rnacentral:miRNA from 1 species
AAAAGUAACUAUGGUUUUUGCC